rnacentral:sRNA from 1 species
GAUGCCAGGGUCAAAAAGUCAAAAAAGCCGACGCAAGCUUGCUUGCAGAAGGCGUUUUGACUUCUUGACCCGCCAAGAUAGGAGCAUAAAAGUGGGAUGCUAAUCCCACGAUAUGCGACUAUCGAGCAGGAUUGUGGGAGUGCGCAGCACGGAACAAUCCUG